rnacentral:piRNA from 1 species
UCUAGGUUUCCUCUGUUCCUCAGAGCUGA